rnacentral:lncRNA from 1 species
CGCAGGAGAGCUCCUAUGGGGGCACGUCCAGAAAAGCCCCAAAGGGGGAUUGGAGGAAAGCACGUGGAUCUACACUCUUUCCAGCACCGGCAAAGGUAUCGAUCGCAAGAGUGCCCCCAAUCAACUUUCUGCAAGCAAAUCUCUGUUUCAUGGAGAACCUGGCCUGCAACAUGACACCUCUCACCACAUCUUACGUCAGCAGUUUCUAAAUGUGUGCUGUGGACUUGCUACAGCAGAUAUGUUUGGAGAAAAAAAUUCAUAUUUCUCAUGUUCACCCCACACCUACAAAACCAUAAUCUCCAUGAAUGGGUCCCAAGGAUGUGUAUUUUUUCAAAGCUCCUCCUCCACUGCUGAAUCUAGUGUAUAGCUUGAUGUAGAAACCACUGCUAUACCAAAGGCUCAGCCUCAAAUCAGCCUACAGCUUCUAUCUUGCUCC